AGGCGAGCUGCCUCUAACCUGUCUCCUUUGAGGAUGGCUCCCUCUCAGGGCUGUUGAGGAACUGGAGUUCCCAGUCCUGGUGUCUCUCUGGCUCUGAAUCCUCUUCUCCUGGGUUUCCAGAAUCAUCGGUGGAAUCUGUGCGGUAGCACAGAGGCCUUCUCUCUCCGGACCCAGCCCCCAGCGUCCCUGGGAUGCGCUGUGUGCUGGGGUGAUGCUGGGACCUGCCUCCCUGCGUCUCCUCUGUUCUCAAAGGAGAAGGAGGUUCCAGAGCUCCUUUAAGCAGGUGGCCAGACUGGACUUCCAUCUGUCUGUCCUGCAUGGGGAAGUCCCAAGGACUUCAGUUUCCUUUUGCAGGCAGGUUAUUUUUGCUGUAUGAAGGCUUCUCUCCUAUGGGGAUGAAGACAGCCCGAGCUUCCUUGUCAGCACAUCACAGUGAUGGGACAGCAGCUGUCACCUCAGGUGGAGCUGAGGCCAAGAACGAGGAGCUGCAUCUGUACCACCAUCUCUUCGACAACUAUGACCCAGGAAGCCGGCCCGUGAAGGAGCCUGAAGACACGGUCACCAUCACCCUCAAGGUCACCCUGACCAACCUUAUCUCCCUGGUAAGAUGCCCCCACCCGCACCCACCGUCCUGGGGGCUAGUUCCGACCUCCACCACCCUGACUCCGGCUCGUCUCCAGAACGAGAAGGAGGAGACCCUGACCACCAGCGUCUGGAUUGGAAUCGACUGGCAGGAUUACCGACUCAACUACAGCAAGGACGACUUCGGGGGCGUGGAGACCUUGCGGGUCCCUUCGGAGCUCGUAUGGCUCCCGGAGAUUGUGCUGGAGAACAACAUUGACGGCCAGUUCGGCGUGGCCUACGACGCCAACGUGCUGAUCUACGAGGGCGGCUACGUGAGCUGGCUGCCCCCCGCCAUCUACCGCAGCACCUGCGCCGUGGAGGUCACCUACUUCCCCUUCGACUGGCAGAACUGCUCGCUGGUCUUCCGCUCGCAGACGUACAAUGCCGAGGAGGUGGACUUCGUCUUCGCCGUGGACGACGACGGCGAGACCAUCAGCAAAAUCGACAUCGACACCGAGGCCUACACGGAGAACGGCGAGUGGGCCAUCGACUUCUGCCCCGGGCUGAUCCGUCGCCCCAACGGAGCCUCCGCUGGGGACCCGGGGGUCGUCGACGUCAUCUACACGCUCAUCAUCCGCCGGAAGCCGCUCUUCUACGUCAUCAACAUCAUCGUGCCCUGCGUGCUCAUCUCGGGCCUGGUGCUGCUCGCCUACUUCCUGCCCGCGCAGGGUAAGGGGCCGCGGGACCCUGAGCCCGGCUCGCUGCUGGCGGGGCGGCUCUCACCGGGCGCUCCCUCCAGCCGGCGGCCAGAAGUGCACCGUUUCCAUCAACGUCCUACUCGCCCAGACCGUCUUCCUGUUCCUGAUCGCUCAGAAAAUCCCCGAGACGUCGCUGAGCGUGCCGAUGCUGGGCAGGUACCUCAUCUUCGUCAUGGUGGUUGCCACGAUCAUCGUCAUGAACUGUGUCAUCGUGCUCAACGUGUCUCUGCGGACGCCCACCACACACGCCAUGUCCCCGCGGCUGCGCCACGUCCUGCUGGAGCAGCUGCCCAGCCUCCUGGGCUCCAGCGCACCCCCCGAGGCUCCCCGGGCCGCCCCGCCGCCCAGGCGCGCGUCCUCGGUGGGCCUGCUGCUCCGUGCGGAGGAGCUGAUCCUGAAAAAGCCGCGGAGCGAGCUCGUAUUCGAGGGGCAGAGGCACCGGCACGGGGCCUGGACUGCAGCUGCCCUCUGCCAGAGCCUGGGCGCCGCCGCCCCCGAGAUCCGCUGCUGCGUGGAGGCUGUGAACUUCGUGGCCGAGAGCACACGGAGCCAGGAGGCCUCCGUCGAGGAGGUGUCCGACUGGGUGCGCAUGGGGAAGGCCCUGGAUCACCUCUGCUUCUGGGCCGCCUUGGUGCUGUUCGGCGUGGGGUCCAGCGUCAUUUUCCUUGGGGGCUACUUCAACCAAGUGCCUGAGCUGCCCUACCCACCGUGCAUGUAGCCGGCUUCCCCACCCGGUUCCCGGGGCGGGGUGGGGUGGGGGGCUGCUGUACGGUGAUCCUUUACCGACCUCACUUUUAUCGACCGCCCGACCGCCCCUAAUAAAUCGGAGCUUUGCCAACCUCACAAGAGGAGUUGCGUGUGCGUGCGGCAUGUAGGUCUGGCCACCGCGGGGUCCGGAGCCGAGGGUUCUCGGAUGCCGGCCCUCCGGAAACCACUCGGUAUCCCUCCUCAAGCCCUGCUGACCCCUCUAGCCCCAGGAGCUGUUAUCGUCAUCAGCGGAUCGCCAAACUUAAAGGUCCCCUCCAGCCCACAGGCACCACGUCCUUAAUGAUCCGCCCAUAUGUGUUGACGUAGACGCCUUCGUCCUCGUAGCACAGCAGCAUCUCCAUGCCGUCAGUGUUGGGGAGGAAGAUGAUGGCAUGGGGCGUGAUCUGGCUCUGGAUCUGGGGAUGAGAGGAUGGACUGCAGGCAGUGCACCCUGAGCCGGGGCUUGUGGCUGCGCUCUACCCAAAGCCCUGCCGAGCUUACAUGCACAGGGAUGUAGAUGUCAUAGCUGUUCCCCGAGUCCACGUCCACAGCAUGGAAGCCGGCACUGGAGCCAUAGAUGACCUUGAGCCGCUGACCCUCCUCCACAGUCAGGUCAACCAGCAGAGGACGGUGAGGGAGAUCUGCGAAGGACUGAGGAGGGGAGGGGACUCAGGGGGGAUGGCCAGGGACUCAGGGGGGGGGUGCAGAGGGGAGAAGGGGCUCAGGGGGCAUGUCUAGGGCAGUGGGGGGUACGGGGGCAGAGGGGGGCCCCUGAGGCUACCUUGAAGGCCAUGAACUUGUGGUAGGGUUUGGGGGCCCAGGCGUACACCUCCACGGAGCUCUUCAGCGCGAUGACCAGGAACUUAAUGCGCUCGUACUUCACUGGGGGGCAGGCAAGCAAGGGGAGGGGUGUCAUCCAGGAAGCCCAGACCCCGAUCCCUCUUCUUGGAAACAUGCCCCUGGCACCCCACGGUGCCCUCCUCACCCACGCGGUAGUGCCCGCAGCCCUCCAUGUCGCCCACGGUGGUCCAGCCCUGCUUCUUCUCCACGUCCGGGUCAUUGUGCAGAAUCUUGUUCCGGAGCCAGGACAGGCUACAGGCAGCGGACGGAGCAUCUGGGGUCCCCAGCCUGUGCCCCGCGCACCUGAGAUGGUGAUGAGCAAGUUGAGCCCUUCUAGGACAUCCAUUUGCUGGAAGCGCCGCCGCCCGAUGAGCCCAUACACCUUGCCCUGCCCGCUCCGGUCCAGUAGCAUCAGGCCAUUCUCUGUGCCCACCAGCAGGUUGACACCUGCAGCGGGAGCCCCUGGGCGGGUCACUGGUGGCCAGCCCUCGCCCGACUGGGGGCCCAGGGGUGCCAGCAGACCCUGCUCUCCCUCCCUGGCCCUGGCUCACCCCAAAGAGCUGCACAGAGGAUCUCUGAAUUAAACCGCUUCUUGUACUUGCGAA